CCGCACGGGUGAGUAACACGUAUCCAACCUGCCGUCUACUCUUGGCCAGCCUUCUGAAAGGAAGAUUAAUCCGGGAUGGCAUCAUGAGUUCACAUGUCCGCAUGAUUAAAGGUAUUUUCCGGUAGACGAUGGGGAUGCGUUCCAUUAGAUAGUAGGCGGGGUAACGGCCCACCUAGUCAACGAUGGAUAGGGGUUCUGAGAGGAAGGUCCCCCACAUUGGAACUGAGACACGGUCCAA
rnacentral:rRNA from 1 species